ensembl:antisense Gm26670 predicted gene, 26670
CGCUCUCGGCUGCUGGCCCCUCCGAGCCUUUCCACGCGUGGUGAGCAGCCAGGCCUUAGGACUAGAGUUUGUAAUCGACUGUGACAGGAUGGCGAAGGCUCCCCAGACUUGAGACUACGUGUUUUCGCAGGUUAAUUCCCCAGGUUGCACGCCCACUUCCGUCUUCCUUUACUCUUAAAGGGAAGUGAUUUUUCUUCAGGUUUCGGUGUAUUUCUUUUUAGGUUUGGCUCUUGCAAUUUUAAUGCUAUGCUUUACCACAGUGUGGAGGUUUGUCGGCUGGUCGUCCUGAUUUCUUUAUUCGACCUCUGUGUCCUGGUGGUUUGACUGGAAGACUCUUAGUUUUGUAGGCAAGGAUGUAUUUGUAGGUAACAAUUUUAACUUUUCCCAGGGGUCCAGCACCUCACCGGAUCCACCUAAGGGCGCUUACUAAAAGGUGGCAUCUUAUGUUUUGCCAACUUUCUGGUAGACAGCUUUUUAAAAGUUACACUGUUCAUUCCCUCCCUCGUCUGCGAGCCAUUUUUUAUUAUUCUUUUACAUUAGAAAUGACUAAGGUGGUGGCGCACGCCUUUAAUCCCAGCACUUGGGAGGCAGAGACAGGCGGAUUUCUGAGUUCUAGGCCAGCCUGGUCUACAGAGUGAGUUCCAGGACAGCCAGGGCUACNNNNNNNNNNNNNNNNNNNNNNNNNAAAAAAAAAAAAAAAAAAAAGAAAGAAAGAAAAGAAAUAAGAAAUGACUAAGGUGUCCCAAAUAUUUUCAUUAUCGGUCUUGGAGGUGAUCCUAUCUCUUCUCCGCUGUUUAAAAUAGUAGGUUUUCCAGUGGUGAGCCCUCAAGUGCAGUAAGUGAAUAUGAGUCAUAGCACCAUGCUGAUAAAAUUCUGAGAAAUGCAGAGACAAAGCAGGUGAUACAGAAGUGGCAACAGAUGCAGUAAGGGAGUGUGGGAUACAUGGGCCAGCUCUGAGCCUAUCACCAUAUCCCUACGAGCCCCCAACAACAUCCAGAUCAGACCCGGCCUCCACACCUACAAGGGCAGCACACCCCUAAUCCUUUCUCCAGUCAGGUGUGUUCUCCACAGUCUUUCUUGCACAGUCCUAGUCUCCACUCAGCCUGUCCCUGAAGAUGUGGAUUCAAAUAUUCACACCAUAUUGUUCUUCACAUCUUAGACGGAUAGUGACCCAGACCACCAACCCCACGGAACAGGCACUUUUUUCAGCCCAGCCCAGAAUUCCAUGCUUUCUCAGCUUGCUAGCAACAACAGGCAUGGCAGACCUCCAGAGUAUAAGUGUUUGGAACCGGAAGUACCAAUACGGCAGAUAAACUCAGACCUCUCAUGGAGUGUGCUACACACACAUUCCAGAAAGACAGUGUUUUGGAAGCAAAACAUUUCUUCCUCUUAAGACUUUGUAAACAGCUCUCAAAUAUGUCCUAGCCUAAAAGACAAUUUUCCAUGGAAAAUUAAUGACAUGUAAUGACUGCAGUAGCUAUUUGUGGGUUAAAGUAAGCAUGCAGGUCAAACCUGCAUGAUAACAAACUACAAAGAAUGUGGUUUUGUUAUGGCUGAUUAUCCUCAGCCUUUUUUCCUCCUUGUGUGUGAUUCAAGUGUGCACUAGAAGGCUCCUGAAGUAUUAAGCCAAGCAUGCACCCCCUACCCAGAAUGGCCAAUAGGUUUUUAUUAUUUCAAAUUAGUAAAAAUAUGUACUAUUAAUAGCUAUUCUUUACUGGUGCAAAUGGUUGGCACUUUUUGCUGCUUUCCUCAUUUAUGAAAGAAUUUAAAAAUCUAAAGCCAGAGAAGAAAUUAAUGUUAUGUAAAAUUACAUUNNNNNNNNNNNNNNNNNNNNNNNNNAUAUAUAUUAGAGAAUCUUUUGUGUUGAAAUAUUUUAUCAAAUGGCCACAAUUUAUUAAUUUACUGUUUAUCAACAUGAUACUCCAUAAACAAUCUUCCAUUGUAGAAUUAUAGAGCACUAUGUGAUUGAGCAUAAACAAAUCAUAAUUUUCUGAUUGAUGUGUGGAUGUAUGAGAUUUGAUGAGACCCUCACUCUCAGAAACAAAAUGCAAGGAGUCAUAUGUUGGGAAGAAUUUGGGUCAUUUCAGCAGGGACUAGGUAUUAGAUAAUAUGAAAGUUUGUGUAGAUUUUUACUAGCAGAACAGCUGUGUGUUUGUGUUUCAAGACAGGGUUUCUUUGCGUAGCCCUGGCUAUCUUGGAACUCAUGCUGUAGACUACACUAACCUCGAACUCAGAGAUCUUCAUGCCUCUGCCUCCCAAACUCUGGGGCUAAAGAUGUAUGCCACCCUAGAUAGGUAGAUGACAGACAGACAGACAGAUAGAUAUCCCCAACUUCUGGGAUGUUCUCUUUUGCAGAGCACACUGAAGUAUUCAGGCAUGAAGAAACAUAUCUGAGAUUCAUAUUAAAGUAUCCGCCAAAAUUUUGGGUUGAGAAAUUAAAACAUGAAACAAAAAUGAAAUUAAUAUUAUUAAGAAUUAAUAAGCAUUAAGGCUCCCUUUACUUUCUAGAACUUAAAAGUUCUCAUACCAAGUAAGAAGCACCAGAACUAGGAUGCUGCGCCAGCUGCGGCUCAGCGGGUGGGGGGGGGGGCUCCCCCUCCCCUCCAGCCAACGCCAGCCCCUCAGCAGACACCUCUGUUAGCCCUGAGUCUUACAGGACCUGAGACCCUCACAGGCUUUAGUUAGCAUCACAGCUAAGGUGGGACAAAGCAGAAGAGUACUGAGGAGGUUGGCAGGGACAGCAGUAGCAGCUGCCUGUCAUGCAAGAGCAAGCUCACUACCUCAGGUUUUCCUUUUGUUUGAGGAGAACAGAGAGACCUGGAAGAAGAAAUCAGCAAUCAGUAGUCCUCCCCUGAGGAUCCUCGGAACCUCCCUCUAGGCAAAUCAAGCCCCACAAGGGCCUCAGGCAGGAGGCUUGGCAAGCUCUGCUUCACUCAACAUUUCCUCCCAACUGUGGAACUGUUUGUUUCAAAGCCUUUCCCAUUUGUUCUUGGUGUCACAUUCAAAGCACCCACAAACCCAUUGAAUCAAAGCAAACCCCCAUCACAACACAGGUCACUUUGUGUGGAGGCUCUGCCCUGACCUGCAGAGAGGGGUUGCCGCAUCAGCUGUUUUUGCCUUCGCAGGUGGAAUUUCCCCUCCAGAGUUGGGAAUUCUCGUUUUGCCCUGAUAAGAGAAACCUGUUCUGAGAAAUGGAAACCUAUGCCAUUGGCAGUCAGCAUGAGGUGAUCUACGUCAUCAGUCACAUCUAGGGGUUGGGCUUAUGGCUUUUGCCUUUAUAAGCCUGCUGCUUUGCAAUAAAAUUGAACCUUGAUC